GUAAUGGAUAAUGUCAGAGAUAAAAGUUGGUUGUGGUGUGCCGAAACCAACGUCCGAGUGGGCCUGUAAAUAAAAGAGGGCAAAGAGAAAUUCGAAAAAAACACACUUUAUUGCAUUUUGAUUACAUGACUAAAUUCCUGAAGGCUUGGCGAAGUUCUCUUUCUGGCCGUGGAAUAUACGUAUUGUAUAUAGAGGACUUCCAGCGGCCCAGUCUCUUUAUGAUGUGGACCGGUGUGUUAGUGCUAGAAGCUGAUGAAGCGGCCCCUAUGCGAAAGGAAUGCCCGGAGAAUGAAGUUGGGUUGUAACCCAAUUUUCCCAGUAAG